rnacentral:misc_RNA from 1 species
AACAAGGCGUACCUGCGGACCUGCGGAGGGAUCAUUACCGAGGCUGCCUCUAUGGCGGUUUCCCACCUGUGUCAUUUUUACCUGUUGCUUCGGCGGUUGCUUGUCAGUCGCCGAAGGAUUUUAAUCUUGAUGUUUGAUGUCCGAGUUCUACUGAAUAGUUAAAACUUUCAACAAUGGAUCU